GGCCAGGUAGCUCAGUUGGUACGAGCAUUCGCCUGAAAAGCGAAGGGUCGCCGGUUCGAUCCCGGCCCUGGCCACCA
rnacentral:tRNA from 2 species